rnacentral:lncRNA from 1 species
GAAUCCUGUUGGGGUUUUAAGCAGAACUAGCAUUUGACUAACAGAGAAAAAUCUAGGACUGGACCAUGUGAUGACAUGGAAAUGCUGGAUUACGUUUCAUUCCAUCCUUGUUUCAGGGGGUCUCUCAAAUCAAGAGCUGUGUCUGUGUCUGGCGUUCUAGAAGAUCUUGGGUAUAGGGCACCACUGUAGCUUGAGUGAGUGUGGUUCUGCGGACAAGUGACAGCAACAGAAGCUGAAAGCUGGAAAUGGUCUCCCAAAGGCUCUGAGGCUGAAAUCUGAGGCUUAAAAAGAACAAUG